CGCGUAGGCGGGUUUGAUAAGUCAGAUGUGAAAGCCCACGGCUUAACUGUGGAAGUGCAUUUGAAACUGUCAGACUUGAGUAUCAGAGGGGAAAGUGGAAUUCCCGGUGUAGAGGUGAAAUUCGUAGAUAUCGGGAGGAAUACCGGUGGCGAAGGCGACUUUCUGGCUGAAUACUGACGCUGAGGCGCGAAAGCGUGGGGAGCAAACA
rnacentral:rRNA from 1 species